AAGUUUGAAGGAUUCAGAGCAGAGAAUUGCACCCUGGCAUGAUGCCUAUGCCAGCUGGACUGUGUGAUUUUUGUUCUUUAGUAGAAGGAUAACAUGACAUAGCAGGAAUAAUACUGCCUUUUCUUUCUGGCAUGGAUCAAGAGAAAAGAAAAUACAAGAAAACAGACAGAAGAUCCUAUCUGCGACAAUUAAGAGCACUCUAAGAGGAAAACACAUCCCACCACAGCAAGGUACUUCUAUGGAAGGGUGAGCCCUCACAGAUGGAGCAAUGGGGCGCGCACACCUGAACAAGGGAGGGGAAGGAGUUCUUAUCCCUGAUGCAUGUGACCCCUGCUGCUGUGUCCUUCCCCUAUUGGCUAAGGUUAGACCACACAGCCUAAACUAAUUCCGAUUGGCUAAUUCAAAGAGAGCGACGGGGGCUUCUGACAGCUUUGGAGAUUGUGACAUUGGAAUAAAGGAAAAACGUACAGGACUCAUGAAGCGCUGAAAUGUUCACAAAUAUCAAGCAAAAGUCAAUGAAAUUUAUUUUGAGCUAUUUACAUCAUUUAAUAAUUGAGCAAGGUAUACUCCUAUGAACAAAAUUUGGAGCAUGUUUGUCUCUCUCUGCCUGGCGUCUUCAGAAUUUGGAAACUAGUUAUGGUUUAUAAUCAGCUAUAGAAUUUUAACACGUGCUCUCAAAUGCAAGUUUCUGAUAACUUUGGAGAUUGUGACAUUGGAAUAAAGGAAGAGCUGGAAUGUUCAUGAAUAUCAAGCAAAAGUCAUGGAAAUUUAUUUUGAGCUAUUUACAGCAUUUAAUAAUUGAGCAAGGUAUACUCCUAUGAACAAAAUUUGGAGCAUGUUUGUCUCUCUCUGUCUGCCUGGCAUCUACAGAAUUUGGAAACUAGUUUCGUUCCCAGAUUUCCUAAACUUUCCAGAGAAAAUGGUCUUCUCCCUGGCUCAGCAAGAAGAUGAACUUUAAACACUGAGAAACUGGUCAUCUCCCUGGCUCAACCAGAAGAUGAACUUUAAACACUACUCUCAAUGACUUGAUGUUCCCAUCACUACUCCUGUCAUAAAGGGAGGGGACUCAGAUAUUGAGAAUUUUAUGAUAGUGUGAACUGUCUGGUAUGUCAUUUAAGUAAGCCCGUUGCUGAAAUAUUUUCCAUGUUAUUAGAAAGAGCUGAAGAGAGGGAUUGAGAUGGCUUCUUUAUUUUUUGUCUUUUGGGAAUUAAAGGAACCUGGUUCAACAAGGGCCUACACCUAAGUCUCUUGUUGUACCAGAGUACAAUUUAGGACUGCUCCUGAGGAAGGAAUUAGCUAGAAAUCUAGAGAGUAAGGGUAACAGAUUUACAUAGAAUAACAGCCUCAGUAUUUUUGGUUCCUCUCCAGUAAAGAUCACAAAGAAUAUUGCUAAAUCGCUAAAACACCUUUGCAAUAACGUAAGGGCUUACAACUAUAUACCAAUGUAGCUCAGUUACUAAACUGGAGUAAACUAAUUUCUCUUGUGUAGAAAAAUUGGUUGGCUGUGGUUUUAUAGCAGAUCUGCAAUUAUUAAUAGUUAUGCCAAUAAUCGUUUAACAGUGCAUAUGUUAAUAUAUAUGGAAAGACAAUGUGUAUAGACAGAUGUGUAAAAUUGAAAAAUAAACAUAUAACAAGAGAGAAACAUCUAUCGAACAGACAAUAUACAUACACAUCAAACACAACAGCAGUUUUAGUGACCAUAAUAUUUAUUUCUCAUUUUUACAUUGCUUACUUUAGUGACAACUGAAAAUGACAGUUGGCAAUGCAGCUAACAGUUUCAAUAAAAGUAUAAAACAAAA
rnacentral:lncRNA from 1 species